GCUGCUGGAGGUCUGUAGGGCUCUAGGAGGUGGAAGAGAGUCUGGUGAUGAGAAUUAAAGAGGUGCAGACGUUGCAGUCAAAAAGGAGGAGAAAAAAAAAAGAACAAUUUCCCCCUUUAUUUUGUUUUGACUGUCUCUGAUGGCAGUCAAUUUCAAGAAUUGUAAUCAAUUUGUGAAAGAAGAGAGGAAAAUAGGAAGCAAAAGAUAAAUGCCACAUUUUUUUUUCUGCUUCAACCACGUAUGGCAACGUAACCAGCAUUUUCUGGCCACAGCAACUACAGGUUUAAAGAAGGAGUUACUGUGCCUCAAAGAGAUUAUCGAUAAAGAUAACAUGCCUGCAAAUAGCGUGCUUUCUGUUGACUUCAUCCAGCUCAAAUAUUUGAUGCCAAGUCAGCUGAAGAAAAGGGCACUGGGGCUGUUGCUCUGAUUUUCCACGAGCACCUCCACAUUCCCAGCCCAGCGCUUGCUUUGGUGUUGCUACAAGAAGAAGUCCUGCUGCCACCAGGGCCACCAGCCCAGUGGCUGCUGCUCAGCAGGGACGGACAGACACCAGCACAUCUCUGGGGCAGUGACUUACCUUCCCUUUCAUUGUGUGAUCUGCACAAGUCCUGAUGAUACUGCCUAGGAUUUGGCAUGUGUAUCUCCUGUCGCCUGGCCUGGUUGUAGCACAGACCUUCGGUGUGAAGGGACCCAGCUGUAACACAGCAAGUACCUCGAGGCACUUAUAGGUUAGCAGAUCAUGCAGAGACAUGAAACAGGAACAGGCCCCACUCUCUCAAGGUUUUGGUCAGACCGCAUGUCCUACAACAUGCCACAAGACCUUUUUGAAUACAGAUAUUCACACUUAAUGCCACGGACAACUGCUCAUUGUUGGAGAUGGAGCCUGGCCGGGAAUGCAGACCACAGAACACAACAGGAAUGUCACGCAACUGAACUACAAAGCUCAUCAAGCUGAGCACUUUUUGGUGAACCAUCUCCCCAGAUCGUAUUUGCCUUGUCAGUAAGAAAGCACUUGGUCUAGAUUCCCAGGUGAGGUUGUAUGUGUCAAAAAAGGAUCAGAGAUCAUGGCAUGUGAUCCGAAGGGAAGCAUUCAGACUACACAGGUAUUUAUUGCUUUAAGCUUCUCAAAAAAAAAACCAAUUAAAUUCUGUAAGAUAAAGUGGCUCUCUCACUGGCCUUUUAAGCCAAUAGCUCACACCAGAAUACUUAAGCCCAACA